rnacentral:sRNA from 1 species
CUUGGUCAUUUAGAGGAAGUAAAAGUCGUAACAAGGUUUCCGUAGGUGAACCUGCGGAAGGAUCAUUCACAAACGAGUGUUUUAUGGCACUCUUUAAAAAUCCAUAUCCACCUUGUGUGCAAUGUUUGUUGGGAAAGUCUUUUCUUUCCCUUCAUAAAUAUCAACCUAUAUCUUUAACAACAUUCGUCUGAUAACAUAUUAUGAAUAUACUUAAUUCAAAAUAUAACUUUCAACAACGGAUCUCUUGGCUCUCGCAUCGAUGAAGAACGCAGCGAAAUGCGAUACGUAAUGUGAAUUGCAGAAUUCAGUGAAUCAUCGAAUCUUUGAACGCAUAUUGCGCUCUUUGGUAUUCCGAAGAGCAUGCUUGUUUGAGUAUCAGUAAACACCUCAACCUCUCUUUUUUGAUAAAAAAAAAGGGAGGGUGGACUUGAGCUAUCCCAACGACCUUCACCGGUAGGCGGGCGGCUUGAAAUGCAGGUGCAGCUGGACUUUUAUCUGAGCUAAAAGCAUAUCUAUUUAGUCCUCGUCAAACAGGAUUAUUACUUUUGCUGCAGCUAACAUAAAGGAUAAUUGUCCUCUUUGCUGACUGAUGCAGGAUUUUACGACACUUUAUGUGUUGUUCAACUCGAUCUCAAAUCAAGUAAGACUACCCGCUGAACUUAAGCAUAUCAAUAAGCGGAGGAAAAGAAACUAACAAGGAUUCCCCUAGUAACGGCGAGUGAAGCGGGAUGAGCUCAAAUUUGAAAUCUGGCUGGUUUACUAGUCCGAGUUGUAAUUUAAAGAAGCGUUUUCGGUGGCAGCCUGGGUAUAAAUCCUUUGGAAUAGGGUAUCAUAGAGGGUGAGAAUCCCGUCUUUGACCUAGUGCAUGCUACUAUGUGAUACGUUUUCAAAGAGUCGAGUUGUUUGGGAAU